rnacentral:rRNA from 1 species
AUUGAACGCUGGCGGCAGGCCUAACACAUGCAAGUCGAGCGGAUGAAGGGAGCUUGCUCCUGGAUUCAGCGGCGGACGGGUGAGUAAUUCCUAGGAAUCUUCCUGGUAGUGGGGGAUAACGUCCGGAAACGGGCGCUAAUACCGCAUACGUCCUGAGGGAGAAAGUGGGGGAUCUUCGGACCUCACGCUAUCAGAUGAGCCUAGGUCGGAUUAGCUAGUUGGCGGGGUAAAGGCCUACCAAGGCGACGAUCCGUAACUGGUCUGAGAGGAUGAUCAGUCACACUGGAACUGAGACACGGUCCAGACUCCUACGGGAGGCAGCAGUGGGGAAUAUUGGACAAUGGGCGAAAGCCUGAUCCAGCCAUGCCGCGUGUGUGAAGAAGGUCUUCGGAUUGUAAAGCACUUUAAGUUGGGAGGAAGGGCAGUAAGUUAAUACCUUGCUGUUUUGACGUUACCAACAGAAUAAGCACCGGCUAACUUCGUG